AUUGAACGCUGGCGGCAGGCCUAACACAUGCAAGUCGAGCGGAGCGGCGGACGGGAGAGUAAUGCCUAGGAGUCUACCUGGUAGUGGGGGAGAACGUCCGGAAACGGGCGCUAAUACCGCAUACUAUCAGAUGAGCCUCGGUCGGAUUAGCUAGUUGGUGGGGUAAAGGCCUACCAAGGCGACGAUCCGUAACUGGUCUGAGAGGAUGAUCAGUCACACUGGAACUGAGACACGGUCCAGACUCCUACGGGAGGCAGCAGUGGGGAAUAUUGGACAAUGGGCGAAAGCAUUAGCCAGUCAUGCCGCGUGUGUGAAGAAGGUCUUCGGAUUGUAAAUCACUUUAAGUUGGGAGGCGUUACCAACAGAAUAAGCACCGGCUAACUUCGUGCCAGCAGCCGCGGUAAUUC
rnacentral:rRNA from 1 species